rnacentral:rRNA from 1 species
UGGGGAAUUUUGGACAAUGGGGGAAACCCUGAUCCAGCCAUCCCGCGUGUGCGAUGAAGGCCUUCGGGUUGUAAAGCACUUUUGGCAGGAAAGAAACGUCAUGGGUUAAUACCCCGUGAAACUGACGGUACCUGCAGAAUAAGCACCGGCUAACUACGUGCCAGGAGCCGCGGUAAUACGUAUGGUGCAAGCGUUAAUCGGAAUUACUGGGCGUAAAGCGUGCGCAGGUGGUUCGGAAAGAAAGAUGUGAAAUCCCAGAGCUCAACGUUGGAACUGCAUUUUUAACUACCGGGCUAGGGUGUGUCAGAGGGAGGUGGAAUUCCGCGUGUAGCAGUGAAAUGCGUAGAUAUGCGGAGGAACACCGAUGGCGAAGGCAGCCGCCUGGGAUAACACUGACGCUCAUGCACGAAAGCGUGGGGAGCAAACAGG